AAGUGCGAUAAAUAGUGCGAUCUGCAUGAAUCUGUGAGUCAUCUAGUAUUUGAACGCAACUUGCGCCAGCGGAUAGCAUGGCAUGUUUCAUCGAGUACCGAAUAUGAAGUUUUGUAGUAAUACAAAGAUAUGGCGCGUGUUUGUGUGAGUCCACUCCCCAGACUGCGCUGAAAUGGAGCAAGUGAAGGGUAGGAACUGCUCUCACGUGUGCCAGAGACAACUGCUGUCUUGUCACGCGGGGGUAGUCGUCUAUUCUAACACAAUACAACAAACUGGUCUCGGUGGAGCAAGAUUACCCGCUGAACUUAA
rnacentral:misc_RNA from 1 species